UGGUGCCAGCAGCCGCGGUAAUUCCAGCUCCAAUAGCGUAUAUUAAAGUUGUUGCAGUUAAAAAGCUCGUAGUUGAAUUUCGGGAUCAAUAUGUCGGUCGUGCCUUCGGUACGUACUGGUAUCAUUGGUUUCUCCUUUCUGACGAACCAUGAUGUCAUUAAUUUGGUGUUAUGGGGAGUUAGGACUGUUACUUUGAAAAAAUUAGAGUGUUUAAAGCAGGCUUUAGCUUGAAUACAUUAGCAUGGAAUAAUGAAAUAGGACGUUCGAACCUAUUUUGUUGGUUUCUAGGAUCAACGUAAUGAUUAAUAGGGAUAGUUGGGGGCAUUAGUAUUCAAUUGUCAGAGGUGAAAUUCUUGGAUUUAUUGAAGACUAACUACUGCGAAAGCAUUUGCCAAGGAUGUUUUCAUUAAUCAAGAACGAAAGUUAGGGGAUCGAAGACGAUCAGAUACCGUCGUAGUCUUAACCAUAAACUAUGCCGACUAGGGAUCGGAUGAUGUUAAUUUUUUAAUGACUCAUUC
rnacentral:rRNA from 1 species